CCCCUCUGCUGCUGUGCAGAGCUGGGAGGGUAUAUAAAGACAGCACAGCUUUAGUCAUCGAUUGUCAUUCGGUUGGAGUGAAAGACUGGUUGACCGCAUUUGAAUUUUCAGGAUUUGCCCGGUUGGUGAAGGAAGAAAACGGAGAUGAAAAACCUCGUGCCCUCGAUUCUCAUCCUGUCUGCCGUGAUCUUGCUGGAGUUUCCACAGAUACAAUGUUUUAAGGCUCCGAUAACGAUGGACCUCGCAGAAAAUUCCCUCGAUGAUCAAUAUGUCCGUUGCGAAAGAAAAAUGUUAAAAGAAUGUUAAGGAAAAAUAUCUUCCAUCAGAAUUACAAAACACCCCCAAUUUUAAAAACGUCUGGGAAACAGCAAAAAAGUCAAUGGUGAAGAAAAGAGGAUGUCGUUGAAUUUGAACAAGCCACGGCAAUCUAUGCUUAUACUAUGGACGUUUACAACACGUUCAAUGAAGAAGUUAGAAAAGGAGGAAAACAUUACGAAGCUUUUCCGUUCAAGUCGUUGCAUUUUUAUUUGACAGACGCCCUGAAAACUCUGAGGUCCAAGAAGGGUAAAUGUUAUGAUGUUUUUAGAGGGGUUCAAGGCCAGUUUGCCGCUCUUGAAGGUACAACUGUACGAUUUGGUCAGUUUGCUUCUACCUCUCUAGACAAAAAUGUAGCAAAACAGUUUGGAAAUGGAACUUUGUUCAUAAUACACACCUGCCUCGGCGUGCCAAUUGAAGAAUAUUCAGAUAACCAAAGUGAAAAAGAGGUACUUAUUCCACCUUUUGAAAAAUUUAAAGUGCUGAAAGUCGAUGGAAAUCAAAUCCACCUGGCACGUAUUGCUAACAAGACGAGUAAUUUCAACUGCUUGGGAGUGCCGAAAAAAUGCUCCUGUCGUGAAGGAUUAUGUUGCAUUAGUUAACAAGUCUCCCUGAAGAUGCAAAACUCAACGCUGGGAAAAUGCUGGGUGUCUAAUCAAUUGUUCUAUAUUAUUUUUAGUAUAGGCCAGUGUACCUUCCUUGAGAAUUAUAUUCUCUCACUCACAUUGUACAUUCGUUUGGGGCUGCUUUAAUUAGGUAUCUUAUACAACCUCUAAAAAGCCUCCUUCAUUUUACCAUUUGUGGCUGUGUGUUCUUUUUCUCUACCUAUUUGAAAUGAAUUGCAUGUGUGGAAUAUUAAAGUCAUCAAUAUAAUUAGACAGGCAAUGACUUGCCUGUUUUGACAAUUUUCCAGGGCUUUCAGUUCCAGUGGUUUGAUUUCAUAUGCACAACAAAUCAAAACUACAAAAGCAACGGGGUUCUCUGAUAAAUUUGCACACUUCUGUAUAUAGAUUGUAAGCUGUUAACAUCAGAUUAAACUGGCAAUGGAAGACUUUACAACCCACGAGCAACAUUAUCACUGGCGGACCCUUUAAAGGGUUGCUAACCAAGGUUUUAAAAUGUAUUCCCUAUUAUUAUCCCCUGCCUUAUUUGAAUAAACUAGGCAUUGCAUGAACACUGGUGAAGUAAUCCCACCUGUAUUAACAUGGUAAUGUAGAGGGAGGUCAAGACUGAUGCACGCCCCUGUGUAUCACUAAAAAAACAUGAAUGUAAAUGUGAUCCAUCUCACUCUCCCCCACAUAGAUAACACAGACAUAAACAAACAAGAUAGAUGCUUCUGCAUCCAGCGCUCAAAGAAUAUCACAGACAUUUGCAGAGCUUUUUUUUAGAUGUUAUAGUAAUAAAAUAAUGACUUGGAUCGCAUUAUUGAGGAGUUUGGUGAUAAAACGAGUGAUCAGGAGAUGAUCUAUCGGUAUGCACUACUAUGAAGAGAUAUGUGAAAAAUACAGCGAACAAGGGGUGGAGCGGGGCUGGAGAUGCAGAACUGAUUGUCCUGUUGAUAUGCAGUGCCUUUUAAACCUGUUUCAGUGUGAAAAAAAUACUUUUAAACAGCUUGUCUAAAAUAAACUGCGCGUGUGAAAAUAAAAUGGACCUGACACGCCUGAGACGCGCUGAAUAAAUGGACCGCUAAGUUUUAAUGUAGUCCAGGGUACUCUGUUCCGUUACUUAGCGCCCUCAUAGGUCAGGAGGGAGAUUUACCACCAGGAAGCAUUGUCUUUCUGUCACAGGAACCACAUGGGCUCUAUCCAACCGCAUUGGCGGCCAUAUUGGAUUUGUCAAAAAUAUUGAAACCAAAAAACAUCUUCUGAGAAACAGUUUUGUCAAUUGAAGUGAAACAGGGAGGUUGUCUAUUAAAUAUGUUAAAAAUAAAGUUCCUGCAUCAAAAACAAGGAGGCCACGAGCAACUCAAAUUUCAGCAUAUAUUGUACUAUUAAUCUGUGAUAGAAUACAGUACAAAGACUAGUAUUAUUAUUGUUGUUGUUGUUGUUUAGAUAUGUGACGGGUGGAAGACCUGCUUUGUUGUAGUUUUGGUUGGAAGGGACAAGGUUGCCUCUCUUCUCUGCCAAAGUACUUCUCAUGAGAUUGGAUGGUCGACAGCUAAUAAUUAAUUCAUAAGAACAUAAGAAGACCAUAAGAAAGUUUACAAACGAGAGGAGGACAUUCAAGCCAUCUUGCUCUUUUGGUUGUUAUUUAUUUUGUUUAUUUAGCAGACGCCUUUAUCCAAGGCGACUUACAGAGACUAGGGUGUGUGAACUAUGCAUCAGCUGCAGAGUCACUUACAAUUACGUCUCACCCGAAAGACGGAGCACAAGGGGGUUAAGUGACUUGCUCAGGGUCACACAAUGAGUCAGUGGCUGAGGUGGGAUUUGAACCAUGGACCUCCUGGUUAUAAGCCCUUGUCUUUAACCACUGGACAAAACAGACUCCUUAGUUAGUAGCUUAUUGAUCCCAGAAUCUCAUCAAGCAGCUUCUUGAAGGAUCCCGGUGUAUCAGCUUCAACAACAUUACUGGGGAGUUGGUUCCAGACCCUCACAAUUCUCUGUGUAAAAAAGUGCCUCCUAUUUUCUGUUCUGAAUGCCCCUUUAUCUAAUCUCCAUUUGUGACCCCUGGUCCUUGUUUCUUUUUUCAGGUCAAAAAAGUUCCCUGGGUCGACAUUGUCUAUACCUUUUAGGAUUUUGAAUGUGUGAAUCAGAUCGCCGCGUAGUCUUCUUUGUUCAAGACUGAAUAGAUUCAAUUCUUUUAGCCUGUCUGCAUACGACAUGCCUUUUAAACCCGGGAUAAUUCUGGUUGCUCUUCUUUGCACUUUUUCUAGAUCAGCAAUAUUCUUUUUGUAAUGAGGUUUCCAGAACUGAACACUAUAUUCUAGGUGAGGUCUUACCAAUGCAUUGUAAAGUUUUAACAUUACUGCCCUUGAUUUACAUUGGCUGUCAGCCACGUAAAUUAUUACAUUGCCUGUCAGCCAUGCAAAUCACUAUACUUUCGCGGUUGCCCAACCUUCCCCAGCUAUCUAUAGAAGUCCCAGCUGGGAACGUAAAAAUGAAUGCAAAAACUUUAGCGGCUGCUUUCCUCAGCCACGCUUGCAUUUUCGGUCUCUUUUCUCCAAAAUCCUGGUGUUCUUUCAGCAGUUUGCUUAUUCAGGUUCUCCUAUGAGGGCAGGGCAGAGGAACAACAAAACAUUACCUUUACUGGUCGAGUGACCCCCCCAAGGCCUGCCUCCCGCCCACUCAGAGGGAGGGAGAGACCACACACCCUCACCCAACCUCUCCAUGUCACUGCCAUGAUCGACAGAGCUCCCGAGCUCCUCCUGCAGGAUCAUACAUGCAUCAGACAGCCAGCACAGAUCUCACCCUGUUACAGUUCUGUUUAACUGUUUGUUUAUUUUGACCAUCACACUGUUUGUGUUGUUAUCAUUUAAAAGUGUUUAUUAUUUAAUAAAUAAUCUUGAGCACAGAAGUGUCUCAUUCACCCAUAGUAUUGCUUGCUGUUUCAUACAUUUCCUGGUCUGACAUCCCCCGCCUCAGCCAUCAUGUAAAAUA